rnacentral:rRNA from 1 species
UACGGGGGGGGCAAGCGUUGUUCGGAAUUACUGGGCGUAAAGGGCUCGUAGGCGGCCAACUAAGUCGGACGUGAAAUCCCCAGGCUCAACCUGGGAACUGCGUCCGAUACUGGAUGGCUUGAAUUCGGGAGAGGGAUGCGGAAUUCCAGGUGUAGCGGUGAAAUGCGUAGAUAUCUGGAGGAACACCGGUGGCGAAGGCGGCAUCCUGGACCGGCAUUGACGCUGAGGCGCGAAAGCCAGGGGAGCAAACGGG